CAAAGGCUUGAUCCUGACUUUACUAUCAGCUUUAACCCAAUUUAUACAUGCAAGUUUCCGCACCCCUGUGAGAAUGCCCUCAAUCCCCCGUCCGGGGACGAGGAGCAGGCAUCAGGCACAGCCCCCCCAAGCUAGCCCAAGACGCCUUGCUACGCCACACCCCCAAGGGAUUUCAGCAGUAAUAAACAUUAAGCCAUUAGUGAAAACUUGACUUAGUUAGAGUUUAAGAGGGUCGGUAAAAUUCGUGCCAGCCACCGCGGUUAUACGAAAGACCCCAGUUGAUAGAUUCGGCGUAAAGGGUGGUUAAGGAAAUAGAAGAAUAAAGCUAAAGAUUUCCCAAACUGUCAUACGCCCCCGGAAACACGAAACCCAAAUACGAAAGUAGCUUUAAAUUAAUGUACCUGACCCCACGAAAGCUAAGAAACAAACUGGGAUUAGAUACCCCACUAUGCUUAGCGCUAAACCCAGAUAGUAAACUACAAAUAUAUCCGCCGGGGUACUACGAGCACAGCUUAAAACCCAAAGGACUUGGCGGUGUCUCAAACCCACCUAGAGGAGCCUGUUCUAGAACCGAUAACCCCCGUUAAACCUCACCACUUCUAGCCCUGCCCGCCUAUAUACCGCCGUCGUCAGCUUACCCUGUGAAGGCCCAACAGUAAGCAAAACGGGUUCACCCAAAAACGUCAGGUCGAGGUGUAGCGUACGAAGUGGAUAGAAAUGGGCUACAUUUUCUAUAAAUAGAAUAUACGAAUGGCGCCCUGAAACGGGCGCUUAAAGGUGGAUUUAGCAGUAAAAAGCAAAUAGAGAGUCCUUUUGAAUUAGGCUCUGAGACGCGCACACACCGCCCGUCACUCUCCCCUAAACUACCAAUUAAAUAAUAUAUAAUAACAAAAUCACCCGCACGGGGAGGCAAGUCGUAACAUGGUAAGUGUACCGGAAGGUGCACUUGGAAUAAU
rnacentral:ncRNA from 1 species